GAUGAAGAACGUAGCGAAAUGCGAUAAGUAAUGUGAAUUGCAGAAUUCAGUGAAUCAUCGAAUCUUUGAACGCACAUUGCGCCCGCUAGUAUUCUGGCGGGCAUGCCUGUCCGAGCGUCAUUUCAACCAUCAAGCCCCAGGCUUGUGUUGGGGACCUGCGGCUGCCGCAGGCCCUGAAAACCAGUGGCGGGCUCGCUGUCACACCGGGCGUAGUAGAUUUUAUCUCGCUCAGGGCGUGCUGCGGGUUCCGGCCGUUAAAAGCCUUUUUUACCCAAGGUUGACCUCGGAUCAGGUAGGAAUACCCGCUGAACUUAAGCAUAUCAAUAAGCGGAGGA
rnacentral:misc_RNA from 1 species